rnacentral:lncRNA from 1 species
GCCGCAGCUGCGAGCAACAGAUCCGGACGCCGCGAGCUGACCCGCUCUGCUGUUGGGCGAUUUUUUUUUAAUUGCAGAAAAAUUUAUUAAAUUGGAAAAUCUUGCGUUUUUCAAUGGCGCUGGCCCCGGGUCAGCGGGCGAUUUUCUCUGCAUCAAGAUGGGCUUUGCCGUUUCCGUAGUGGGCACCAGUGGUGGCCUGAUUGUCAGUCUUCUCCCGGCAUUUUUAAGGCCAGGAGCCGAGCGCUGCUUGUAGGCGAAUACCCUACAGAGCGGUUUGGCUUUUUAAAUUACUGUUAUUAUUUUGGGCAGAGAACAGUCGGUCUGGUGCACCCCGUCCUCGCUGCAGAAGAGGCUGCGAGUCCGAGGUGGGUCUCUCGGAAGGUGAAAUUCCUUCUGGGGUGAGCGAGCCCCGGCCCCGCGCGCAGUCCAGCGGCCCCGCGUGUGUGCCCUCGCCCUGCCGGAGCCGGGAAAAUGGAGGCUGUGAUUGAGAAGGAAUGCAGCGCGCUCGGAGGCCUCUUCCAGACCAUCAUCAGCGACAUGAAGGGGAGCUAUCCAGUUUGGGAAGAUUUCAUAAACAAAGCAGGAAAGCUGCAGUCCCAGCUUCGGACAACAGUAGUAGCAGCAGCUGCCUUCUUGGACGCCUUUCAGAAAGUGGCUGACAUGGCCACCAACACACGUGGUGGGACCAGGGAGAUUGGAUCUGCUCUCACCAGGAUGUGCAUGAGGCACAGAAGCAUUGAAGCCAAGCUGAGGCAGUUUUCGAGGUGAGGAGCAUGUUUUGGCCCCGAUCGCCAACACCCUUGCAGAUUUCAGGUUAAGGAAGCAGUCAUGUGUGGCACACAGCAUUUAAAUCCCCACAAUCUGUCUGACUUGGCUCAUUCAUUGCCUGAGUAUUGUUAGGCAUCUGCUGCAUACCAGGCACUGGUCGAGGCCCUGGGGGUGCAGCAGAUCACCAGCCAGCCAGGCCCCUGCCUUCACAGAGCCUGUGCUCCUGCAUGGGUCUCUCCUUACCCUUUGUCUGUGCAAGGAGCCGGUGCAGCCUGCUGAGGUCUUUUGGGCCCCCACUGCCCUGCGGGAGCCUCGCAAGAAGAGGGGCUGUGAAAUUGGAGAGUGAGAUGUGCCUUGGUAUCCUGUGUGCAUCCUCCAGACUCACUGAGGGAUGUGGCAGCUCACAGACCACUCCACACCGCCAGCUUCCCAUCUGGCUUCCAGGCAUCCAGAAUAGGGAAGAAAUGGUAGUAGCUGGCACCGGAAUUGGGUUACAAAUGUUCAAGUGAAAAUGGACAUUGCUUUCCAAGCAGAUCAGCAUCAUUCAGCAGUUUUAUGUGAUUCUGUUUGGGAGACUGCACAAAAUGAAGGGGCACACCUUCAGAGACCUUCACCCCUCAGUAACCCCGAGGCUGGCAGUGCAGCUCGAGAAUUUUCUGGGUCUCGUCACUCUUCUCUUUCUCCAGGCUGUGCAUACUUAGUGUAUAUUUAUGACCUGUCAUGCCGCAUGCACAGCAGAAUCUUGUGGGUCUUUUUUAAAAAUAGUGAUGCUGGGCCCCACCCUCAAAGUCUCCAUUGGGGGUGAGAUAAGGCCCAGGUGUCUUUGCAUUUUGGGGGUCCCUGUUGUGCAGCUCUCAGAGGGGUGACCCCUGUGGUUCUGCAACUUGGCUUGUUAAUACAAACACUAGAAUAUCACAGGGAAAAUGGGAAGAAGGGUCACUCCCACCAGUCACAUUGACAGCUUCUUAGUAGUCAUUGAAAAACAUUCUUGGGGCCAGGCGCGGUGGCUCUCGCCUGUAAUCCCAGCACUUUGGGAGGCCAAGGCAGGCGGCUCAUGAGGUCAGGAGAUCAAGACCAUCCUGGCCAACAUGGUGAAAACCCAUCUCUACU